AAAAGGGUGGUAAUGCCGGAUGCUCCAGUUGGAUGCAUGUCCUUCUGGGAAAGAUUCUAUCGGUAUGGGAUGGGGUCGCGUCCUAUCAGCUUGAUGGCGGGGUAACGGCCCACCAUGGCUUCGACGGGUAGCCGGCCUGAGAGGGCGACCGGCCACAUUGGGACUGAGAUACGGCCCAGACUCCUACGGGAGGCAGCAGUGGGGAAUAUUGCACAAUGGGCGCAAGCCUGAUGCAGCGACGCCGCGUGCGGGAUGACGGCCUUCGGGUUGUAAACCGCUUUUGACUGGGAGCAAGCCCUUCGGGGUGAGUGUACCUUUCGAAUAAGCACCGGCUAACUACGUGCCAGCAGCCGCGGUAAUACGUAGGGUGCAAGCGUUAUCCGGAAUUAUUGGGCGUAAAGGGCUCGUAGGCGGUUCGUCGCGUCCGGUGUGAAAGUCCAUCGCUUAACGGUGGAUCCGCGCCGGGUACGGGCGGGCUUGAGUGCGGUAGGGGAGACUGGAAUUCCCGGUGUAACGGUGGAAUGUGUAGAUAUCGGAAAGAACACCA
rnacentral:rRNA from 1 species